rnacentral:rRNA from 1 species
GGGUUGUGAGGUUAAGCGACUAAGCGUACACGGUGGAUGCCCUGGCAGUCAGAGGCGAUGAAGGACGUGCUAAUCUGCGAUAAGCGCCGGUAAGGUGAUAUGAACCGUUAUAACCGGCGAUUUCCGAAUGGGGAAACCCAGUGUGAUUCGUCACACUAUCAUUAACUGAAUCCAUAGGUUAAUGAGGCGAACCGGGGGAACUGAAACAUCUAAGUACCCCGAGGAAAAGAAAUCAACCGAGAUUCCCCCAGUAGCGGCGAGCGAACGGGGAGGAGCCCAGAGCCUGAAUCAGCAUGUGUGUUAGUGGAAGCGUCUGGAAAGGCGCGCGAUACAGGGUGACAGCCCCGUACACAAAAGCGCAUGUGCUGUGAGCUCGAUGAGUAGGGCGGGACACGUGGUAUCCUGUCUGAAUAUGGGGGGACCAUCCUCCAAGGCUAAAUACUCCUGACUGACCGAUAGUGAACCAGUACCGUGAGGGAAAGGCGAAAAGAACCCCGGCGAGGGGAGUGAAAAAGAACCUGAAACCGUGUACGUACAAGCAGUGGGAGCACGUGACUGCGUACCUUUUGUAUAAUGGGUCAGCGACUUAUAUUCUGUAGCAAGGUUAACCGAAUAGGGGAGCCGGAGGGAAACCGAGUCUUAACCGGGCGUUAAGUUGCAGGGUAUAGACCCGAAACCCGGUGAUCUAGCCAUGGGCAGGUUGAAGGUUGGGUAACACUAACUGGAGGACCGAACCGACUAAUGUUGAAAAAUUAGCGGAUGACCUGUGGCUGGGGGUGAAAGGCCAAUCAAACCGGGAGAUAGCUGGUUCUCCCCGAAAGCUAUUUAGGUAGCGCCUCGUGAAUUCAUCUCCGGGGGUAGAGCACUGUUUCGGCUAGGGGGCCAUCCCGGCUUACCAACCCGAUGCAAACUGCGAAUACCGGAGAAUGUUAUCACGGGAGACACACGGCGGGUGCUAACGUCCGUCGUGAAGAGGGAAACAACCCAGACCGCCAGCUAAGGUCCCAAAGUCAUGGUUAAGUGGGAAACGAUGUGGGAAGGCCCAGACAGCCAGGAUGUUGGCUUAGAAGCAGCCAUCAUUUAAAGAAAGCGUAAUAGCUCACUGGUCGAGUCGGCCUGCGCGGAAGAUGUAACGGGGCUAAACCAUGCACCGAAGCUGCGGCAGCGA